GGGGCAGAAUACAAUACAGGGCAAUUGUCUUGUAAUUGGAAUGAUGGUGACGUAAAAUCUCACCAGAGUAACAAUUGGAGGGCAAGUCUGGUGCCAGCAGCCGCGGUAAUUCCAGCUCCAAUAGCGUAUAUUAAACUUGUUGCAGUUAAAAAGCUCGUAGUUGAAUUUCUGCGUUGCCCGACUCGGCUACUUGCCUUGUCUGGUUUCGCUUUUGGGGUUUUCCCCUUUUUACUUUGAGAAAAUUAGAGUGUUUCAAGCAGACUUGUGUCUUGAAUACUUCAGCAUGGAAUAAUAAAGUAGGACUUUGGUUCUAUUUUGUUGGUUUGUGAACCUUAGUAAUGGUUAAUAGGAACGGUUGGGGGCAUUCGUAUUUAAA
rnacentral:rRNA from 1 species